rnacentral:rRNA from 1 species
UACGUAGGUGGCAAGCGUUGUCCGGAAUUAUUGGGCGUAAAGCGCGCGCAGGUGGUUCUUUAAGUCUGAUGUGAAAGCCCACGGCUCAACCGUGGAGGGUCAUUGGAAACUGGGGAACUUGAGUGCAGAAGAGGAUAGUGGAAUUCCAAGUGUAGCGGUGAAAUGCGUAGAGAUUUGGAGGAACACCAGUGGCGAAGGCGACUAUCUGUCUGUAACUGACACUGAGGCGCGAAAGCGUGGGGAGCAAACAGG